UGAAGGACGUUACUAACGACGAUAUGCUUUGGGGAGCUGUAAGUAAGCUUUGAUCCAGAGAUUUCCGAAUGGGGAAACCCAGCAUGAGUUAUGUCAUGUUAUCGAUAUGUGAAUACAUAGCAUAUCAGAAGGCACACCCGGAGAACUGAAACAUCUUAGUACCCGGAGGAAGAGAAAGAAAAUUCGAUUCCCUUAGUAGCGGCGAGCGAAACGGGAAGAGCCCAAACCAACAAGCUUGCUUGUUGGGGUUGUAGGACACUCUAUACGGAGUUACAAAGGACGACAUUAGACGAAUCAUCUGGAAAGAUGAAUCAAAGAAGGUAAUAAUCCUGUAGUCGAAAAUGUUGUCUCUCUUGAGUGGAUCCUGAGUACGACGGAGCACGUGAAAUUCCGUCGGAAUCUGGGAGGACCAUCUCCUAAGGCUAAAUACUCUCUAGUGACCGAUAGUGAACCAGUACCGUGAGGGAAAGGUGAAAAGCACCCCGGAAGGGGAGUGAAAUAGAACCUGAAACCGUGUGCUUACAAGUAGUCAGAGCCCGUUAAUGGGUGAUGGCGUGCCUUUUGUAGAAUGAACCGGCGAGUUACGAUUUGAUGCAAGGUUAAGCAGUAAAUGUGGAGCCGUAGCGAAAGCGAGUCUGAAUAGGGCGUUUAGUAUUUGGUCGUAGACCCGAAACCAGGUGAUCUACCCUUGGUCAGGUUGAAGUUCAGGUAACACUGAAUGGAGGACCGAACCGACUUACGUUGAAAAGUGAGCGGAUGAACUGAGGGUAGCGGAGAAAUUCCAAUCGAACCUGGAGAUAGCUGGUUCUCUCCGAAAUAGCUUUAGGGCUAGCCUCAAGUGAUGAUUAUUGGAGGUAGAGCACUGUUUGGACGAGGGGCCCCUCUCGGGUUACCGAAUUCAGACAAACUCCGAAUGCCAAUUAAUUUAACUUGGGAGUCAGAACAUGGGUGAUAAGGUCCGUGUUCGAAAGGGAAACAGCCCAGACCACCAGCUAAGGUCCCAAAAUAUAUGUUAAGUGGAAAAGGAUGUGGCGUUGCCCAGACAACUAGGAUGUUGGCUUAGAAGCAGCCAUCAUUUAAAGAGUGCGUAAUAGCUCACUAGUCGAGUGACACUGCGCCGAAAAUGUACCGGGGCUAAACAUAUUACCGAAGCUGUGGAUUGUCCUUUGGACAAUGGUAGGAGAGCGUUCUAAGGGCGUUGAAGCAUGAUCGUAAGGACAUGUGGAGCGCUUAGAAGUGAGAAUGCCGGUGUGAGUAGCGAAAGACGGGUGAGAAUCCCGUCCACCGAUUGACUAAGGUUUCCAGAGGAAGGCUCGUCCGCUCUGGGUUAGUCGGGUCCUAAGCUGAGGCCGACAGGCGUAGGCGAUGGAUAACAGGUUGAUAUUCCUGUACCACCUAUAAUCGUUUUAAUCGAUGGGGGGACGCAGUAGGAUAGGCGAAGCGUGCGAUUGGAUUGCACGUCUAAGCAGUAAGGCUGAGUAUUAGGCAAAUCCGGUACUCGUUAAGGCUGAGCUGUGAUGGGGAGAAGACAUUGUGUCUUCGAGUCGUUGAUUUCACACUGCCGAGAAAAGCCUCUAGAUAGAAAAUAGGUGCCCGUACCGCAAACCGACACAGGUAGUCAAGAUGAGAAUUCUAAGGUGAGCGAGCGAACUCUCGUUAAGGAACUCGGCAAAAUGACCCCGUAACUUCGGGAGAAGGGGUGCUCUUUAGGGUUAACGCCCAGAAGAGCCGCAGUGAAUAGGCCCAAGCGACUGUUUAUCAAAAACACAGGUCUCUGCUAAACCGUAAGGUGAUGUAUAGGGGCUGACGCCUGCCCGGUGCUGGAAGGUUAAGAGGAGUGGUUAGCUUCUGCGAAGCUACGAAUCGAAGCCCCAGUAAACGGCGGCCGUAACUAUAACGGUCCUAAGGUAGCGAAAUUCCUUGUCGGGUAAGUUCCGACCCGCACGAAAGGCGUAACGAUUUGGGCACUGUCUCAACGAGAGACUCGGUGAAAUCAUAGUACCUGUGAAGAUGCAGGUUACCCGCGACAGGACGGAAAGACCCCGUGGAGCUUUACUGUAGCCUGAUAUUGAAAUUCGGCACAGCUUGUACAGGAUAGGUAGGAGCCUUUGAAACGUGAGCGCUAGCUUACGUGGAGGCGCUGGUGGGAUACUACCCUAGCUGUGUUGGCUUUCUAACCCGCACCACUUAUCGUGGUGGGAGACAGUGUCAGGCGGGCAGUUUGACUGGGGCGGUCGCCUCCUAAAAGGUAACGGAGGCGCUCAAAGGUUCCCUCAGAAUGGUUGGAAAUCAUUCAUAGAGUGUAAAGGCAUAAGGGAGCUUGACUGCGAGACCUACAAGUCGAGCAGGGUCGAAAGACGGACUUAGUGAUCCGGUGGUUCCGCAUGGAAGGGCCAUCGCUCAACGGAUAAAAGCUACCCCGGG
rnacentral:rRNA from 1 species